UCUUAUUAUGAACAAAAAUGAUGGUAAUAUGCUUCAAUGAUAUAAAAAUGUAUCUUUUAUUCAAAUUGAAUUUUAGAUACUUGUUCAUAAAGGCCAAAAUGACUCUCUAAAUCUUUAAAAGUGGAGGCUAUUAGGCAAUACUGAAGAACAUGGGCUGCAUGUUACUGACUAUCAGAAAAGAAUCUUUAAAGCAAAGCAGUGGAAUAAAACUGCCAUGUGACAGCGUAUUAAGAUCAGACAGGCAUCAUGAAGUAACUUGUUCCAAAGAAGCAAGGAAUACAGGAUCCAUGCCAAGUAAAGACAAAUUGAUGUGGAAGAAGUCUAGGGCAUUGAAUCUACUGCUGUGAAGAUGGCUACUACUCCAAGGAGGGGUGCAGCACUAGGGACUCAUUGUUAGUCUUUGCUCCUGACAAGGCCACUUAAUAAGUGGAAAGUUUGUUAUCUAUUCUCACCUCAAGUCAGUUGAACAUUUUUUUCUAUUUUAACACUGAUGAUUUCAUCAAAAGUUGAAAUUUGCUUUGGAGACACACCAACAGCUCCAAAAGGCCAUGGGUGGAAUUUCAACUAGAAUUCAAAAGUUGCAGAAAGGACACAUGAGAACCCAGUGAGGGACGCCGCUGCCUCAUUCACUGCCACUGUCACCUCAGCUGGUUGUGCAUUUCUUUCAACUCAGGCUCUUCACUUUGAGAGGAAAACUCUAUAUAUGCUAUUUGUGACACUAAAAAUUGAAGUUAGUGUGAUAGUAGACUCAUGACAAGAAAAAAAAUAAUCUUUUACGUUAUAAAAUGAGAAACAAAUUCAUGUAAUUUACUAUAGAAAAAACAACAACAGAUAACUAAGUGGCAACAAAUUAAUGAAGGAUAAAAUAAGACAAGACAUGUAUAAAUCAAUAAAAUGGAACAAGUUAGUGAUUUCAAUAAUUAUGUCAAAUGAAUAUAUAUGUCAAUAUCUGAAAUCAGAUAUUUAUAGGAUACACACAAACAUGAUUAUAAUAUGGGUUUGCUAUGGCCUUUCAAAAGUUAUUUCAGAAUCUAACACCUAAUGUGAUGUGCUACAAAGAGUGAGGCAGUAUAAGAUGUUAUUAAGGGUUAAUGCAUCUGUGUCUAUGUAUGAGAUAAGUUUCUUAUUCACAACGUUGAAGUAAUCUGCUUUGCCUUCUAUACCAUCAACACGUACCAAUAAGUAACCAACUAUAAGGAACAAAUUCUUGACACCAAACCCUCAGAUGUUUUAUCUUAACCUUCCCACCCUGUCUAAAUAUGUGUGACAAAAUACUCUUUUUGUAAGUUAUAUAGUUAGUGAUGGUAAGAAAUCAGAUGAAUGAAGAAAUUUCUGUUUAUAGAAGAUACACAUUAAUUCAAAAGACACAAAUGGAGUAAAAAUAAAAUUCUAGAGAAAGAUAUUUCAUGAAAAUGAAAUUUAAGAAGAAAUCUUUAACUAAUAUCACAAAAAUAGAUUUUA